GAGCUGCGCCGCUGCACGGCGACGUCGCCUGCGGACCGGGUGACGAUGAACCCCGGGGAACGCCGUCAAAACGAUGGUGAUGAGUUUAGCUGUGAGAAAUAAAAUUUCAAGCCAUGUACAAAUCAAGAAAGUCAAGUGGUUAAGAUGGAAACAGAGAGAGGAAGCUGACCUGAAGAUUGAGAUUGAAGUGCAGGAACAUGUGAAGGUAGAGAAGAAGAUGGAUGGUGACUCAAAUAGAGACUAAUCAGGAGAGAGUGAUUGUGAAGAGGAAAUGAGGACUAGAGGAAGAGUAAAAAAAAAAAAAGUGAUAGUGUAGCUGUCAUCAGGCAGAGAGCAGAGAGCCUGAUGUCCUCAUAAAGCUGCUUUAGAGAACCUAGCUGGAGGAGCGUGUGGAGCAGUGCACAGUUGAGGAGAACACUGCUUCAACAAGUACCAUGGACAGAAGAGGCUGAGGGAAAUGUGCCAGAUGUCACCAUUACAGAUGGAUGCAUCACAACAGCUCAGUCUGUGCCAGCAAUUAGACUGCCUGAUGGUAAAACAUUUGCGAACAUAGCCCUUGAUUGGUCAGCAUGCUGGUAUAAUGUUUUGGAACUAUACAGAGCUCAUCAUUUAACAGCCAUGCUAUUCCUCAGAUCAGGAUCGGAAGCACCCAUCCCUAAGAGCAAUGGCGCCCAGGCAGGCACAAUGAUCCACCUUAGCAGGUGUGGCAACAGACAGGACUGGCACAGAGGAGGAGCUGAGAGAAGAGAUAAAAGGAAACGAGACAAAACGCAAAAUCAAAGCAAAGCAGAGGACUCUGGGGAAACAAUGGACAGAAUGCACUGCGGUUCAGGGCUGAUGACUGUAAAACUACCACGUGCUGUUUUCACAACACCCGUCAGCAAUCUGGGCAAGCAGCGGGGACAAAACCCAGAUGCAACUCUCACCCCUGUUCCUAUUAGUGGCAUUAAAGAGUAACAUGUAAUAACACUAAAAAAAACAAAUCUUGAUACUUUAAACUAGUUUUAUUAAGUUUAGAAAUAUUUUCCUGAGAGAAUGUUCUGUGAAUUCACCCACAUCUUCAGUUAAUUCUGAGCCAGCCAUUUUAACCAGCAUGAAAUAAUACUACUAGAGAACUGUAUUAAAAUGGAAACAGUAUUUUUAUAUUAUAUAAAAGUAAUAAUACCUAUAUAAUUACGUUUUGUGUACAAUAGCUCAGGUCUUUUUUGGACAGGUGGCCCACAAGUUUUGAACAAUGGCUACUGGACUAUUCAAGACCCAGUAUGACACUCAUUUGUUGUCAAGAGAUUGAAGACUUUUUUAGCUCAAUCCAUCCCAAUAUACAAUAAAGUCAAGGAAGUUUGUGAAUACCAUAAAUCCAUUAGGAUAAACAAUGUAUAUUAGAAAAUUAUAAUCAUAAAACCAAAUCAUGGAAAAAAACUGAGCUGUAUUGUUGAGCUCCAGAUUAUGCUGCAAACUCGACAGAGUUUGGAACAUAAUCUCCUUUAACUGCAGAUAUCAAACAGCUCCAAGUCACGCUGCUUAGUCUUGUUCCUCGGGGUCUGAUUCCGUUUGCUGCACUUUCUUCUCCAUCCACAAAGUGCAAAUUAUUUUUAAAAUCACAGACAGAAAAGCAUUAUGAAUAGCCCAUUUUAUUAAAAUGCACUUUGUUGGUACUGAACAACAUUGAAACAAAAUGUAGAUUUCCCCCCACAAAGCAACAGUUAAAAUCUAUUUGACCAAGAAUUCCAAGCAGGGCGGCAGAAAAAUGACUGUCAAAAUAAACCUUGUUUCGGCUUUAAACCAAAGAAACCCACCCGUUAGGAAUUUUAACGGCCACACAGUUUUUCCCAAUAUCUGGAGAAAAUGCAGAUUUUCUCUCAUUGUCUGUGCAGAUUACAUGGAAAAUGAACCUGCGUUGUGAGCGACUGAAACAAAAUAAAAUUUAUAUUUAGGCUUUGUUCUGGCCAUGAAAAAAUAUGUUUCCAGUACAGUUUGGGGACAGACAUCAACAACAAAAAUUGUGCUAAAAAACAAAUACUUGAAUUCUGAUAGCUCUUGCAAAUGUACUUAAUUGAAAAUAUUUUUAAAUACCUUUAUUUAAACAUAAAAAGUGGAACGGUCAACAUGUUGAACGCAUAAUCCUCGAUUUUAUGAGUCCUAACUAAAAUAGCAGUGUAGUCUAUAGGCACCAUCCUAAACAAGGGAUCUAACAGCAUCCAUGAAUACCACAUUGAGUUUCUAAAAUGAUACUUAAUGCACUUUCAUACAUGGGACAGCAAUCCCAAUAGAUAAUGAAGAACAUUCACAAACACACUGUAUUGUGUAAAUGUUGUACAGCCGGGACAUAUUCACAGAUGUAAAACUGAAGGUCAAAUUAUUCUAAAGGCUCUUAUUUGUAAUCUUUAAACACAAACUGGUCAAAUGUAAACCGGCAAGUUCUUAACAUCCUGUUUGAGAACAACCAAAGCAGCUAGAAUGCGUCCUGGCUGCUUUCGAGACCCUGGCUCUUCCAACAUCCUCCCCUGGGUGCCUUGAUGUGUCUCCAUUUAAAAUAAAACAGUAGGAUUGGGACUCAAGUUGAAUGCACAGUGAUGUUACACACACUCAUACAGUAUGUACAGUUUUGCCAAAACAAACAAACAAACAAAAACAAACAAACAAACAAACAAACAAACAAACAGGGCACCCCAAGAGAACAACAAAAAAUAAGUCAUGUAGUUAUUCAAUAGUUCAUGGACCGUGUAUACUAAGAUAACACAGGAGAGAUAGAAGGACGGAUGAUGCACACACACUGGUCCUUACUAAAACUGUAUGAUCACCAACCCUUUAAUCUGGGUCAAAAAACAUGUCUGUAUCACUGAAAAAAAUGCACGACAGUCUGAUGUGUGUGUGUGUGUGUGUGUCUGUGUGAGAGAGAUAUAUAUAUAUGUAUGU